CAUGUUUGUUUAUUUACUACUUGUAGGGAAUAGAGUUAGGGAUCUAGGAACAUGUACAUUAUUAGCUGAAGUUAAUAGUAUUGUGUUGUAUCGGUGGAAAUAAUGUACACACAUUUGACUCCAUGUAGGAUGCAUGAGAGAAUAACUUUUGGCAAGCAUUACCCCGGUUUUUACGUGAUCUUUUAGUGCGAAGACGGGGGCCCCCAUCCCUAAGCAUUUUCAAGAUGCAGGUGGUUCGCCAAGUGUGUUCUAACAAACUGAGAACUUUUACUUGCCAGUCAACAGCAAGGAGCCUAUGUCUGUCCUGUGGGGCAAUGAACAAAUACGCGGCACGGGAAGGACGAUUCUUGGCAAAGGUCAUGAAAUCAGGUCCUAAGAAGAAGAAAUACUGGAGCUCCUUUGAAGACAACUCUGUCCCUUCUGCUACACAGAUGGCAAGUGCAACUGGAGGGAAAAGUGCAAAACGUGUGGCUGUUUUAAAUAAAUUAUUUAUGAAAAAUAUAACAGGCUUGAUGGCAACAGGAGAAGUAGCCGCAGAAAUUCUUGGGAAAGGAAUUGAAAUCUCAAAGGUGAAAGUGGCAUCUGACUUUAAUCUGGUAAAUGUAUACUGGUGUGCAAAGGGAGAUGGAGGUGAUGAAGACAUUGAAAAAACACUGCAGUCAGUGGCAGGACAGCUUCGACAUGAACUUUCUCAGCUUAGAGUGAUGGGUGUUGUGCCCAGGAUACAGUUUGUUAAAGAUAAACAUUACUCAAAAACAGCUGAAGUUGAACGUCUGUUGCAAACUGCAGAUUUUGGUGAAGAUUAUGUUCCUUCUGCCGAUGGUUCUUCGAUCCGAUCAGAAUUUACAGAAGAAUACACACUAAAUCAAAGGAAAGAGGAGAAAAAGGAUUGUAAAGAUGAUUUGUUAAAUGAAGUGGAAUAUGAUGAUGAUGACCUGGACUUACCAGUCAUGAGAAUGGAUGUGUUGGGUGUUGAUCAUAGUGCAAUAAUGAAAAAGAUAGUGAGGUCAAUGAAAAAAGCAAAAGCAUCUCAUAGAUUUGAGGGUCCUGAAAAGCCAUUGGGCACACUUUCAGAAAGUGAUACAGAUCAGAAUAUUGCAUAUCUAACUCCAAAGCAACAAAGACUGGAAUUAAGUAAAUUUCUAACACAACGGAAGAAUCUUAAAAACAAGAUUCGCACAAGGUCCAAUGUGGAUUUGGACAUGUUGGAUGAGAAUAACGUCACUCACAACAGUUCCUUCAGUCAGUUUUUGGAUGAUGAUAAAGAGGAACAAGAUUUUAUUGAGUAUGAUGAUUCUUACUUAAGAAGACACUGAAUUAACUGAUGGUCUACUUUCCAAAACAAGGAAUGUGCUGGAAAAAGAAGAAGAAAAUGAAUUGCAGAACAAUUACUUUCACAACCAUGAGGAAUUCCACAGUUAAUGGUGUUAUACCAAAGAAGACCCUGGAUGAAACUAUCGAAGAAAUUGCACUGUAGAAUCGCACGGGCAAAUUGUCAUUUUAUUGUAUUCUUGUCAGGUCUGCAGCAGGCUCAUGCAGUCACUCUGACACAAUACUUCAGCAGUGCAUCUGGUCGCUAUCUCCCGGAGGCAGGAAUCUAGCAAAUGGAAUGGUGGACAUUAUCUGUGCUGAUGUGAACCUGACUGAGCUUGUAUGGAACCAUUUGAAACUAGCUAUGCUUCAUAGUGGGUACUCCCUCAUGUAGCAGAUGAUCUCAGGAGGGCUGCUGUAGAAGAUUCAGCAGCAUUAUGUCAACCUCCUAGUGGACAGCAUGUCAAGGAGGAUCCGAGUGUGUUACAAUGCACAGCAUGGAGCAACACAGUACACAGUACUGAAUUUACCCAACAGUGGAUUUUGAUUUCACAUAUUUGCAAAGAUUUGGUUUUCAAACAGAGUACCUUUAUUCUGAUUAUUGUUUUGUUAUUGUUUCAUAGUAAAGUUAUUUUCAUUCUUUAAUAGUAACUAAAAAUCAUAGGUUUAAUAAAAAGAACAGGAAAAGAUAGUCAACAAGUGUGCGCACACAAAAAAAGGCAAGGUAUCUUAGCUUUUGGACAGAGUCCUUGUUCAGAGCUGAGUAAUAAAAAAUACAGACAACACAAGGCUUACUGUUUCAUUCCCUGGUCCCCUCAAAUCUAAUCCUACACCUGUUUGUAAAUAUACAAGUGGUGCAAAACUUUUUUGAGUAAUUUAUAUGAUUGGUAGCUCUGGGAAUCCAAAACCUUAGUUAUUGCUUUUUAUUAUUUCAGUUUUCCUGUGUUAUUUUCAUCUGCAGGGCUAAUUAUUGCACAUGAUAUUGUUAUUAGCUGGUUCUGAUUCCAGCUACUUGCUUAUCAUACGUGUCUACUAAGCAUUUUGAGCAUGGUGACUUAGUAAAUAUUUGUGGCACUUUAUGAUACUGUUAAUAAAGAAAACAAUUAUGAAGUGCCCUUUUUUUCUUUCUUUCCAAACUCUAUUAACCCAGAAGGAACACUCACGUUCUGUUCUCCUAGAAUAUUUACAUUGAUGGGUAACAGCGAACAACAUGUAGCAUAGGUCUAGAGGGUAUGUCAUUGUGAGUAAGCAGUGAGUUUCUUUUGAACAAAUUGAAGAGGUGCAGCUAAACUAAAUGCUAUAAUCAAAUUUCUGCCAUUAUUUCAGAAAUUUUUAAACCAGUAUUACUAAGCAUGUGAGUUCAAAUUCAUGCUUCUAUAUUCGUGCAGUUAUACAUGGAUACAAAAUUUGGUGUGAGCUGCUGAAAAUGGGAUCUCUUGUAAAAAAUUGGAUUGACAUAACUUAGGAAAGGAACAAGA